UAAUUGGUGCACACCAUCUAU
rnacentral:piRNA from 1 species